rnacentral:misc_RNA from 1 species
GAUGAAGAACGUAGCGAAAUGCGAUAAGUAAUGUGAAUUGCAGAAUUCAGUGAAUCAUCGAAUCUUUGAACGCACAUUGCGCCCCCUGGUAUUCCGGGGGGCAUGCCUGUCCGAGCGUCAUUACAACCCUCAAGCUCAGCUUGGUAUUGGGCCCCGCCGACCCGGCGGGCCCUAAAGUCAGUGGCGGUGCCGUCCGGCUCCGAGCGUAGUAAUUCUUCUCGCUCUGGAGGUCCGGUCGUGUGCUCGCCAGCAACCCCCAAUUUUUUUCAGGUUGACCUCGGAUCAGGUAGGGAUACCCGCUGAACUUAAGCAUAUCAAUAAGGGAGGA